rnacentral:rRNA from 1 species
CAUUGUAAUUUGCAGAGGAUGCUUCGGGUGCAGCCCCCGUCUAAGUGCCCUGGAACGGGCCGUCAUAGAGGGUGAGAAUCCCGUAUGGGGCGGGGUGUCUGCGUCCGUGUGAAGCUCCUUCGACGAGUCGAGUUGUUUGGGAAUGCAGCUCUAAAUGGGUGGUAAAUUUCAUCUAAAGCUAAAUACUGGCCGGAGACCGAUAGCGCACAAGUAGAGUGAUCGAAAGAUGAAAAGCACUUUGAAAAGAGAGUUAAACAGCACGUGAAAUUGUUGAAAGGGAAGCGCUUGCAACCAGACUCGCUCGCGGGGUUCAGCUGGGCUUCGGCCCGGUGUACUUCCCCGCGGGCGGGCCAGCGUCGGUUUGGGCGGCCGGUCAAAGGCCUCCGGAAUGUAGCGCCCUUCGGGGCGCCUUAUAGCCGGGGGUGCAAUGCGGCCAGCCUGGACCGAGGAACGCGCUUCGGCACGGACGCUGGCAUAAUGGUUGUAAACGACCCGUCUUGAAACACGGACCA